rnacentral:rRNA from 1 species
AUUGAACGCUGGCGGCAGGCCUAACACAUGCAAGUCGAACGGGCUGGCGGACGGGUGAGUAAUGGCUGGGAAACUGCCUGAUGGAGGGGGAUAACUACUGGAAACGGUAGCUAAUACCGCAUACUAUCAGAUGAGCCUAGGUCGGAUUAGCUAGUUGGUGGGGUAAAGGCCUACCAAGGCGACGUUCCGUAACUGGUCUGAGAGGAUGAUAAGUCACCCUGGAACUUAGACACGGUGCAGACUCCUACGGGAGGCAGCAGUGGGGAUUAUUGGACAAUGGGCGAAAGCCUGUUCCAGCCAUGCCGCGUGUGUGAAGAAGGGCUUCGGAUUGUAAAGCACUUUAAGUUGGGAGGCGUUACCAACAGAAUAAGCACCGGCUAACUUCGUGCCAGCAGCCGCGGUAAUAC